CUGCAAGGUGAGAAAGGAAGAGAGCAGAGAGCAGGCGGGGGCCAGCCUCACUCAUCAUAACAACCUUUUCUCACCAGAACCAACCCAUUUCUCUGAGACCCAACCUGAUCUGUGAGACCAACGUUAAUCCCUUUCAAGGCAGUCAAGACCCCAUUACCUCCCACUGGGGCCACCUCUUAACAGGUUUCACCACCUCUCAACACCACCUCACCGGGGACCAAGCUUCUAGCACCUGAACCUCUGGGGACAUACAUAUCCCAUCUAUACCAAGAGUGUUCCCUUUUCUUCAAGUUUUGGAGGAGAUGGAGGAGAGCUGGUUUUAAUUGUUCUUUAACUGUUUGGCAGAAUUCUCUAAUGAAGCCAUUUGGUCCUUGGCUUUUCUUUGUUACAAAGUUUUUUUUUUGUUUUGUUUUGUUUUUUUUGAUUCAUGAUCAUGCACCAACAGCAACUUUGGAGAGCAAUGCUGGAACUGAGUUAUCAUUUGUUCUACCCAAAGAAUUCACUCACAGGUCUGUGGAGGUUUCUAUUUCUUCAUGCUUCAGUUCUGUGAUCCUGAGAAAUGCUCCAGUUGUUUGGGAUGCUUGCGCCAGGUUUCUCAAAAGGCAGACUAAGAAACUUUGGUGAAACAACAUGUUACCUCUUGCUGCUGAGACCAGAGUCAGAGGUUUAUGGGAGUGGAUAAAGUAAGAAACCCCAGGAGAAAAAUAAGUGCACACGAUGUAGAGUAAAAUCAAUAUACUUUGUUAUGGGGGAAUGUAAGGACAGUACUAACAUACUCCCCAAAGUUCUUCCAAGCAAAUAUGGUAGAUGUUCUUGGUUAUUUUUUCCAAUAUCCAUUCCCACGACCAUCUAUCUCCUUGGGGCACAUUCAGCAUAGAAGCUGCUGCAAAAGCUGAACACUAACUUCUCUACCUUCUCUUGAAGCUGAAGAUGUGAUAUUCCAGUUAAUGAAAACCAGGAAGAGAAGAGCUAGAGCAAUGUAAUGUGUGAUGGGAGGUAAAGAUGCCAUCUUGUGAACACGAGUUCACAAACUGGAGGAAAAGGCCUGGAGAGUGAGAGUAAGGCAACUCUGUUAGCAUUGAGUCACCGUGCCUGUCUGUGCAGCACCUUUCCUUCAGGACCCUGGUUAUAGAUGUCGUCACUCAGGAAUUCUGACACUUAUAAUUAAAGAAUGGUUGAGUACCAUUAUAGCCACAAAA